GACGACCGCUGGCGGCGUGCUUAACACAUGCAAGUCGAACGAAGUGGCGAACGGGUGAGUAACGCUUAAUCAACCUGCCCUUCAGAGGGGGACAACAGUUGGAAACGACUGCUAAUACCGCAUACGGAAGGAGGGGAUUGCGUUUGAUAAGCGAGUUGGAGUGGUAACGGCCCACCAAGGCGAGGAUCAGUAGCCGGUCGGAGAGGAUGAGCGGCCACAUUGGGACUGAGACACGGCCCAGACUCCUACGGGAGGCAGCAGUGGGGAAUCUUCCGCAAUGUACGAAAGUCUGACGGAGCAACGCCGCGUGAGUGAUGACGGCCUUCGGGUUGUAAAGCGCUGUUAAUCGGGACGCGGUACCGGAAUAGAAAGCCACGUCUAACUACGUGCCAGCAGCCGCGGUAAUUC
rnacentral:rRNA from 1 species